UACAGAGGUGGCAAGCGUUGCUCGGUAUCACUGGGCUUAAAGGGCGCGUAGGCGGUGCGGUACGGUUUCGGUGAAAUCCCUCGGCCCAACCGAGGAACUGCCGGAGCUACGGCCGCGCUCGACGGCAUCAGGGGACAGUGGAACUCCCGGUGGAGCGGUGAAAUGCGUAGAUAUCGGGAGGAACGCCGGUGGCGAAAGCGACUGUCUGGGGUGCCUGUGACGCUGAGGCGCGAAAGCCAGGGGAU
rnacentral:rRNA from 1 species